GGUCUCCUCACUCACAUGGCGGCGCACCACCGGCCCCGGCUACUUCGCCUCCGCCGCCGCCGCCACUCCCUCCGGAUGUUGGGCUCUGAAGCGUCAUCCGCGGCGCCGGACGAGAGCUCCCAACCUCUUCCCUGGCAAUUCGUAGAGGAAAGAGGAGCUGCUGCUCGUGGGGGAGAAGAUGGUGACGAGCUGCCGGCUGGCGGUGGUGGAAGAGGAACGAAUGUGGGAUGCCCAGAGCGGAGCAGAUGGCAUGGGAGGAAUGUUCUGCUGCCGGCAGAGCCACGUAGCAGAGAAGAGAAGAAUCACCCUGUCCUCCUGCUAUGUAUGCUUGCGAAUAUCACUUCUUUUUUAUUACCUUGGGAAUAUCA